rnacentral:rRNA from 1 species
CCCUUUAAUGUUUGAUGUUCUAACGUAGGCCCCUUAUCGGGGUUGCGGACAGUGUCUGGUGGGUAGUUUGACUGGGGCGGUCUCCUCCUAAAGAGUAACGGAGGAGCACGAAGGUUGGCUAAUCCUGGUCGGACAUCAGGAGGUUAGUGCAAUGGCAUAAGCCAGCUUGACUGCGAGCGUGACGGCGCGAGCAGGUGCGAAAGCAGGUCAUAGUGAUCCGGUGGUUCUGAAUGGAAGGGCCAUCGCUCAACGGAUAAAAGGUACUCCGGGGAUAACAGGCUGAUACCGCCCAAGAGUUCAUAUCGACGGCGGUGUUUGGCACCUCGAUGUCGGCUCAUCACAUCCUGGGGCUGAAGUAGGUCCCAAGGGUAUGGCUGUUCGCCAUUUAAAGUGGUACGCGAGCUGGGUUUAGAACGUCGUGAGACAGUUCGGUCCCUAUCUGCCGUGGGCGCUGGAGAACUGAGGGGGGCUGCUCCUAGUACGAGAGGACCGGAGUGGACGCAUCACUGGUGUUCGGGUUGUCAUGCCAAUGGCACUGCCCGGUAGCUAAAUGCGGAAGAGAUAAGUGCUGAAAGCAUCUAAGCACGAAACUUGCCCCGAGAUGAGUUCUCCCUGACCCUUUAAGGGUCCUGAAGGAACGUUGAAGACGACGACGUUGAUAGGCCGGGUGUGUAAGCGCAGCGAUGCGUUGAGCUAACCGGUACUAAUGAACCGUGAGGCUUAACCUUACAACGCCGAAG